rnacentral:pre_miRNA from 1 species
UCAGGGCUUGGAUUGUGAUCUCGUAUAUUUAUGAGAUCAUUAUUCAAGCUCUCUAAAU